UUUACACAUGCAAGUCGGACGGCAGCACGAGUACUUGUACUUGGUGGCGAGUGGCGAACGGGUGAGUAAUAUAUUGGAACGUACCGAGUAAUGGGGGAUAACUAUCCGAAAGGAUAGCUAAUACCGCAUACGCUUUGAGAAGGAAAGCAGGGGAUCUUCGGACCUUGCGUUAUUCGAGCGGCCAAUAACUGAUUAGCUAGUUGGUGGGGUAAGGGCCCACCAAGGCGACGAUCAGUAGUGGGUCUGAGAGGAUGAUCCGCCACACUGGGACUGAGACACGGCCCAGACUCCUACGGGAGGCAGCAGUGGGGAAUUUUGGACAAUGGGCGAAAGCCUGAUCCAGCCAUGCCGCGUGUCUGAAGAAGGCCUUCGGGUUGUAAAGGACUUUUGUUAGGGAAGAAAAGGUUGAUGCUAAUAUCAUUAACUGAUGACGGUACCUAAAGAAUAAGCACCGGCUAACUACGUGCCAGCAGCCGCGGUAAUACGUAGGGUGCGAGCGUUAAUCGGAAUUACUGGGCGUAAAGCGAGCGCAGACGGUUAGUUAAGCAAGAUGUGAAAUCCCCGAGCUCAACUUGGGAACUGCGUUUUGAACUGGCUAGCUAGAGUGUGUCAGAGGGGGGUAGAAUUCCACGUGUAGCAGUGAAAUGCGUAGAGAUGUGGAGGAAUACCGAUGGCGAAGGCAGCCCCCUGGGAUAACACUGACGUUCAUGCUCGAAAGCGUGGGUAGCAAACAGGAUUAGAUACCCUGGUAGUCCACGCCCUAAACGAUGUCAAUUAGCUGUUGGGCAACUUGAUUGCUUAGUAGCGUAGCUAACGCGUGAAAUUGACCGCCUGGGGAGUACGGUCGCAAGAUUAAAACUC
rnacentral:rRNA from 1 species